GACAACCGCAGCUCCUACUACUACGACAACCGCAGCUCCUACUACUACGACAACCGCAGCUCCUACUACUACGACAACCGCAGCUCCUAUUUUGACAACCUCAGCUGCUACUACGACAACCGCAGCUCCUAAUACAACUACAGCUCCUAAUACAACAACUACUACUCCUAAUACAACAACUACAACUCCUAGUACAACAACUACAGCUCUUAAUACAACAACUACAGCUCCUAAUACAACUACAAUAAAUUCAGUUAAUUUCACAAUGGUACCUAAUUUCACAAUGGUAGCUCUAACUAAAACAACUGCAACUCCUGCUACAACAACCACUACUGAGCUACCAAAAACGACACAAAUGAGCACUACAACUCCACCUGCCGGACAGUCAACCACGAAUAGUGGGCUUAGAUAUAAGUUAGUACUGAGGGUGAAAUUGGACAUGACGACAGACCUAACCGAAUCUGAGAUCUUGAAACAGCUUCGUGCAGAACUGAUCAGCCUAGGGCUGCCAGAGACCUUUACACUGCGAUUGAGAAUCAUUCAGAGCUAGUUGACCGGGGGAAGAGGAGGACGACACUGGAGAUAAAACACAGACAGAUUACAAUGCAAACCAGAUCACAAAGAUAAUUUACACACAUAUUUUACAAUAGAUUGUCCUCAGUAUUACGUUAUUCCCACAUGACCUACGGUAACUGGACCUAAUGUAUUAGCAACUAAAUAUCUACAGUGCCUUCAGAAAAUUCACACCCCUUGACCUUUCCCACAUUUUGUUGUGUUACAAAGUGGGAUUAAAAUGUAUGUAAAUGUAUUUUUUUGUCAACGAUCUACACUAAAUAUAGUUGAAGAAAAAUUAUAAUAUUGUAAAAAAUGUAAUC